ACAUGCACUUCAUUUCAGUCUCUCUCAUUCUCAAAGCUCUUAAAACAUAGAACUUCUCUAUCUACAUAUAUCUAUCUCCCUUUUUCUUAAUCUAUCACUUUCCUUUUCGCAUUACAAUCUCACAUCAUGGAAAGUCCAAAAACGCCCCUACAACCUCCAACUUAUGGUAACCUAAUAACUGUUCUGAGCAUUGAUGGAGGCGGGAUUAGAGGCAUUAUCCCAGCAACUAUCAUUACCUUCUUAGAGUCCGAGCUUCAGAAACUGGACGGCGAGGAAGCAAGACUUGCAGAUUAUUUUGAUGUAAUUGCAGGGACUAGCACUGGCGGCCUCGUGACAGCCAUGCUAACAACCCCAAAUGAGCAGAACCGCCCUCUAUUUGCAGCCAAGGAUAUCAAGGACUUCUAUCGAACUCACUGCCCUAAAAUUUUUCCCCAAGAUAGUUAUCCGUUCGCUCCUGCUACAAAGCUGCUCAAAUCUUUGACUGGACCAAAAUACGAUGGUAACUAUCUACAUAAUCUCGUGAAGGAGAAGUUAGGAGAUAAAAGACUGCACCAGACCUUGACAAAUGUCGUGAUUCCAACUUUUGACAUCAGGAAACUCCAGCCAACCAUCUUCUCUAGCUAUGAGGUGGCUAAAAAUCCAAGUAUUAAUGCCUUACUUUCGGAUAUCUGCAUUGGAACAUCAGCUGCCCCAACCUAUCUCCCAGCACAUUACUUCGAAACCAAAGAUUCAACAGGGAAAGUGAGAGAAUUUGAUCUCGUUGAUGGUGGUGUAGCUGCUAAUAAUCCGACUUUAGUUGCAAUCAGUGAAGUGACCAAAGAAAUCACCCGGGGGAGCUCAGACUUCUUUCCUAUAAAGCCAACGGCCUAUGGUCGGUUUCUGGUUAUAUCAAUAGGGACUGGCUCACCAAAGACCGAGGAGAAGUACGAUGCCCUUAAAGCGGCUAAGUGGGGAAUUUUAGGGUGGUUAACAAGUGAAAGUUCCACUCCAUUAAUCGAUGUAUUUACCCAAUCCAGCAGCGACAUGGUUGAUUUUCACAUUUCUACAGUUUUUAAAGCCCUUCAUUCUGAAGAAAAUUAUCUACGAAUUCAGGAUGAUACUCUAAUUGGAGACGAGUCUUCAGUGGAUAUUGCCACCGAUUCAAACUUGGAGAAUCUUGUAAAAAUUGGUGAAAGACUGUUGAAGAAACCAAUUAUAAAGGUGAAUCUGGAGACAGGACUCUGUGAGCCUUCUACUUGGGGCACGAAUGAAAAGGCUCUCAAAAGAGUAGCAGAAGUACUUUCAAAGGAAAAGCGGACUCGUGACAUGAGAUCACCACAUGGCCCAAGGGGUGCAACCCGGAAAUAUUGAACAAUACUGUGAAACAAAUAAUAAUUAUAUUCAUUUUUUUAAUCGUUGCCUAAGGCUGAUUAUUGUCCUUGUUACUAAUUAUUCUUUUUCAUCCGAUUUAAUAUAAAAUUCGUUCCAUCAGUUUGAAUGCAAUUUGUUAUUGCAAAUUGAUCUUGUUAAUUUCAGUUUGGUUCGAAUCUUAUUGAAGUGAACUGAGGUUGCUGUUUUUAUAAAAGUAGAUGGAGUAAGUGAAAUUACAAAAACAGAGCAGUUUCCAGCUCUCUUUGCUAAACAACUUAACAAGACGAGCUUAAUAAAACACUGCGUUUUUAUUUACCACUCUUAAGAAUAAAACGCUGCGUAUCAGUCUUUUCUCAGACUUUCAUUCUUCACAAAUCACAAGUAUAAUUAAUUUACAAGACUUUAGUUGCUAUAAAGAGAUCACUCGAGGGAGUUCUGAUUUCUUUCCUAUAAAGCCAAUGGACUACGGUCGGUUUUUGGUGAUAUCAUUAGGGACUGGUUCACCGAAGACGGAAGAGAAGUACGAUGCUCAUAAAGCGGCAAAGUGGGGUCUGCUGGGAUGGUUGACCAGUGAAAGUUCGACUCCAUUGACUGAUGUGUUUAUGCAAUCUAGCGGCGACAUGAUAGACUUUCACAUAUCUAACGUUUUUAAAGCACUUCAUUCCGAAGAAAGUUAUCUUCGAAUUCAGGAUGAUACCCUAACCGGAAACGAGUCUUCCAUGGAUAUAGCCACCAAAAAGAACUUGGAGAGUCUUGUGGGAAUUGGUGAAAGACUACUGAAGAAACCAGUUACAAAGGUUAAUUUUGAGACUCGAGUCUGUGAGCCUUGUCAUAAGGGUACAAAUGAAGAGGCUCUCAUAAGUUUUGCAGAAAUUCUCUCCAAGGAUAAGCGAACUCGUGACCUAAAAUCACCACAUGGAAGGGUGACAAAUUUAAAGUGAACAAUAUUAUUGUUCGACUAGUUAUAUCAUUUUUUUUUUUUCAAUUAGUUAAAUAAACUGGAGUUAUUUUUUAUUCUAUUUAGAAUAAAAA